UCUGUCCACAAAAGAAGAGAAAGGUGACUGUUUUGCAGGCCACAGGAGAGAAAUACCUUGCGUGCUCGCUGGACAAUAAAUAGAUUUGUAGCUAGUUGCUUUUGUGGGAAAAAGUUGCUUAGGUGGUCUGAAAAG